CAGCCGCCGCGGGAAUACGAAGGGUGCAAGCGUUACUCGGAAUUACUGGGCGUAAAGCGUGCGUAGGUGGUUCGUUAAGUCUGAUGUGAAAGCCCUGGGCUCAACCUGGGAAUUGCAUUGGAUACUGGCGAGCUAGAGUGCGGUAGAGGGUAGUGGAAUUCCCGGUGUAGCAGUGAAAUGCGUAGAGAUCGGGAGGAACAUCUGUGGCGAAGGCGACUGCCUGGACCAGCACUGACACUGAGGCACGAAAGCGUGGGGAGCAAACAGGAUUAGAUACCCGAGUAGUCCCUGUCUCUUAUAC
rnacentral:rRNA from 1 species